rnacentral:hammerhead_ribozyme from 1 species
AUCCAGCUGACGAGUCCCAAAUAGGACGAAAUGAACAUCUUGUAU